CACGUAGGGCGCAAGCGUUGUCCGGAUUAUUGGGCGUAAGCGCGUGUAGGCGGUCCGGUAAGUCCGCUGUGAAAGUCCAGGGCUCAACCCUGGGAUGCCGGUGGAUACUGUCGGGCUAGAGUACGGAAGAGGCGAGUGGAAUUCCUGGUGUAGCGGUGAAUGCGCAGAUAUCAGGAGGAACACCAAUGGCGAAGGCAGCUCACGGAC
rnacentral:rRNA from 1 species